AAAUGCCCCGAUGCCAUGUUUCCUGCUCGCUGCAGGGGAGAGGGCAGGUGUGUUUAUAGAGUCUGUCUGAUCCCUCAGGAAUGGCUGUGUGAAAGCCCUUAAAGGAUUUAGCAGUGACAGAAGGCUGGAGGAAGGGGGAAGUGAUUCAGGUGUCCUGAAAAUAGUCUGGCAAUUGCCAGUUAGUCCAUAUAACCCAUCUGGCCAUGGAAACAUCAUUUAGAGAAUGUCUUCCUGCUCCCUCAUCAAAGUAUCCCGCCCCCCAGGGAUUCAUUUGAGAUUUUUAUUCUGUAGAUUUAUCAUUCAGUUAUUUGGUGAAAACAUGAAGUAGCUUGUUACCAGUACUGUGCUCAGCAGCACAGAUUCUGUUUGCCUUCAGGAUGCAUUUAGUAUAGAGCUAAAGCAGAAUGAAGGAAACAAACACAUAACCAAUCAAGCUCUUAUUAGCAAAUCUUAUUCUGCUAGGCUUAGUUUUGCUUUGUAUGGUGCCCCAGGACAGUGAUCCAUGCAGUAGAGGGGGCUUUUAUGCUAGGCAAGAAUCAGGACAGCGUGUACAAAGGAGCAUCUAUGAAUGCACCCAUCCUUGUGGCAUUAGGUACAGCCAUUCUCCCACACAGACACUCAACCUUAGAACCAGAAAGGCUGACAGUGUACACCCCUAAAUGCGUGAGCAGAGCCUCCCUGCCCUCCCAGCACCAUGGAGGCACUCCAUGCUGUACUCAGCCCCAGUCUGUGUGCCCUUGUCCAUGCAGCUGUCACUCAGACUAGGGCUCCUCCUCAUUAACAAGCUAAUCCAAUCUGCUUGCUACUCUCUGGUUGCCAUCUCAAUUACAAUUUUUCAGACACCAAUAACGAAGCAGCUUUGAGCCAAGGCUGAUUGCACUACAGCAGCAUGUAAUUUGAAAGCCAUUACAUUUCAUCUCUGUAACACUCUAGAAGCAGUAAUACAGCUGCUGAAAAAGCAACUUUAUUUCAAACCAGAUAAGAGCUUUGCAGAGAUCUCAUAUGCUGAUAUUUGAGCUAGCGAAUUCAAAAGCUUUUGUGAAAUAACGAUAAUAGAGCCACUUUAUUUCACACUUAAGAUACCUGCCUCAAUGCUAAGAUCUAGCAUCAGACAGAGUCUUGUUCUGUUUGGUGCUAACAUUUUAAUUUAGCUUUUCUCCAACAGCUGAUUUUGUUAGCCUUGAACUAAGCACCAACCCGUCAUGACUCGUAUGCAAAACAACAGGAAUGUGCCUUGCUCGUCCCACCCCUCAUGGAGGAGCCCCAGGUUUCAGCACUCUCAACAAGGCACUCAGAGGUGACUUGCCUGGAGAUGGCACGUUUCACUGACUGAUCCCCCCACCCAUCUGUUAUCAAUCCUAUCGGUGUGCUCUCUGAGCAGAGAUGGGAGCUGAAGCAGCGACAAUCACCGGUCCCUGCUGGAAAACCAGGUCAUGAUGUGAGGCCAGAGAAGGAGCUCUGAGAUGUCCUCCAUCCCAUCAGCACAGUAACAUCUAACCCUGUUCAACAGCUCAGCGAUGGCAGAAAACAACUAACUGCUGUCCUGUGGCAAGAAGGCCAGAGAUGGGGUGGGUUGCAGACAAGCAGGGGCAGGGCUCUCUCCAAAAGGAGUUUGUUCCUCUCCUCUCACAACAUGUGGAGCACAGCCAGCUCCCCACCACAGCCAUGCAGUGCUGCUUAGGAACAGCGUGUGCUGCCAUGGCAAAAAGAGCUCAGCAGGAGCUUCUUCCCUUUGUGCUAUGGCAGUGCAAGCAGCAGAAAUCAGAAUAAGCUCAGGUUAGGCCACGAUGUGGCAGACUGAAUUCCUCCAGGAAAGCAGCUGCUACAUUUUUAAAGCCAGUGCUUCAGCUUAUGAAAAUUAAACGCUCCAUACAGCUAGUAAAGCGGCGUAUAUACGAGAUGUGCUUGAGCCUGUCAAGGUGACCACGGGCUGGAGGCUACACAGAGAGGCUGAGCAAAGCUCCACAGACCCUCAUGAAGCUGCUGGGCCUCUGCUGCCCUGCUGGUGGGGCUGCGCAGCCAUAAGAGCCCCUGUAUUCCCUGGGCCUCCCUCAGAGCCCACUCUAUGCUCCAGCCUCUGCUCAAGCUGCACAAAAUAGAAGAAAACAAACUAAUGAAGCAUUAGGGUUAAACUCAGCUGCAAUUAAUGCUUAAUUACCACCCUGAAAACACUUGCUCUACUUUGCCAGGGCCUAGAAAGAUAAAACCAAUUAGCUUAAUCUUGUGUGAUAGAAACCUUAAACUGCCUCUGAUGACUUCUGGGAAGGAAUCCCGGGAGUACCUGGAGGAGCCCUGGAGCUGAGGGCCCAGGGCUGUCAUUAGCUGAGCACUUGGAUGCUCUUCCAAAGAGGCUGAAAAGAAAAGCCCUCCAGGAACUGCAGCAGAGAAUGACUCCCAUCCAAAACCAACAGAUCCUGGCAAGCAGCUACAUAGGUCUAUAGCAGGGCAAGCAUUCCACCACUGCAUGGGAGGACUCUUACAUGUGAGCCUGUGCUUCAGCUGCAGCAGAGCCAACCAUUUAAUUAUAAUGGGAGAGGCUGCAGGGAUUAACCAAGAAAGCUGAGCUGACCGCUGUGAGUUCAGCUUCUACUUUUUUUUUUUUUUGCUCAGCUUUGAACACAGUAACUAAAGAAGAGCACACAGGCAGAGAAAUCUGUGCAGCAGCAAUCCUGGCUAACUUCUCUUCUGCAAUAAGAAGUGAGUCUUCCUAGGGAAACUGAAGGAAUUGCGCUCUAAAAGAAUACCACUGUCAGGUCUGUCAGACAUCUCUACCUCUGGAGUCCCACCACUCAGGGAUGAAUUAAGCUGAGAUGGCUGAAGUAGUCACCCUGCCCUCCACCUCCUGUCUGCUUGGUUCCUCCAUUUCUGUAGCAAGAGCAGACAAAUGACACCUCUAUUUGCUCCCAAACCACUGCAGUUCACAGCCCGGCAUGGCUCUCAUUGUGAGCUGCCCCAUGACGUCCACCCAGCCCUCAGACUGGGAGCUGCAGCAGUGCAGCAGAGGCAGAUCUCUGCUCCUUUGAUUUACCAGAGUCUGAAGGACUCUUAACUUCCACUCAUCUGGAUAUAAACUGAUGUCAUGUCAUGCUUCAGCUCCUGGCUGAUAUUUGGCCAGUUGAUAUGAUUUACUGUGUGGGUUGGACUGAACUUUCUCACUAGAAUACUGUCAUGGCAAAAUGCUGAGUCUAUGUUUAAGAGCACAAGAGCAGUAAGAAGAAUUAGGAUGAGGGUGAGACUGGAGUGAGAACCUGGUUCUUGUGCCAAGAACUCAGGCCUUUCAGAUGUGUCCUGUGCUAAGAUUUAUAAAUGUUUCCAUUGGCAUACUAGACACUGGGGUAGGCUUCUCAAUUACAUUAAGCCUAAGAAAUAUGGCAGUUAACAGAAGAAACGAGAUUCCUGCCUCCUGUUUGUUCAUCCUAGUGCUUGGAUGGGCCCAGCACCAGUAGCCCGUUCCCUUAUGAAAUGAUUAAAAUGAAUAAGCAGCUCGAUGUCUGGCUGUUUUUGAAGUGUUAAUUCCUGCUCAGGUCUCAGACAGGCCUUCCAGACAGCCCUGAAAUUUCUAGGCUUUGUAAAAUCCUAAGUGCAAAUUCCAGAGAAGCUGACUUUCUGCUUUGGAGGUAAUUAAGUGGAGUGACUGGGGCACUGCUGGUAGCCUGGUGUCUGUGGACACCUCUCCUGAAGGCUCUUUGGACCGUUCAGAUAGCAGCACUUCACUGGUGCUGCUGCAGGCAGAUUCCAGCUGGCCUUCUUCAGGCGGUGUUAGUGCUGGGAGCUGGGGAAAGCACGCAGGAGAUGUUGCAGUGUUAGCCCUCCACAUAAAGCCAUUCUUUCCACGGUCUCACAGAGCAAGAUUUUGUGUGUGUUUUACAGAGCUCAUCCCUACCCUGAGGCCAUGCCCAGAAGCAUUGUUAGUGAAGCUUUCCUGGCACUGUUGUUCCAAUGUUGCCAGUGCUCCAAAUCUCCAAACUUCAGUGAGAGCCUUCACCUGGCUAAGGGAGGAACUCGCUCAUUUAUUUCCCAUCUAAUAGGCAGCCAGGAGCAAAGCAUCCAGGGAGAAGGUGACCCUGCUGAAUCAUGGAGCUAUCUGGACCAUCAAGAACUUCAUGUUCUUUCCAUUAGCUGCCGUUUGAGUUCUGCAGGAAGAAAAGUCUUGUGUUGUAGAUAAGUUCCUUAGAGUGCUGAGAAAGCUCAAAGAUCUGCAGAUGAAUCCACUGCAGCAGGAAGCCAGUGCUGGCAUCCUGGCUUUGAAUGCAGGAGCCCCAGCGGGUGCUGCCAGGCACCGGCCCUGUGUGGCAUGGGCCAGCAGCAGCAGGUGUGGAUGCUGCUCAGGAUGCUGCCCACGAGCCAUGAGCACCUGGCUGUGCUGUGCAGGGAGCUGGGCUCUCACAGCCACCACCUGGAACCUGAUCUGCCUGUCAGAGCACAGUGUGCUCAUUCAAGUGGCAAGCUAAUUUCAUCACCUCCCCUGUCAGGGCAAGAGGAGGUAGAGAUUAAUUUGAACUCAAAGGAUCAUAAAAUAACAUGGCAGCAGUAUGCAACUGAUAAUCCACGGGAGGAAUUGCAAAUGUGAAGUUGUCUUGCUCUACAUAAUGGGGAGCUAUGACCAGCAACUUCUCUGCUCCACCUCUUGCAUUUGCAUUUCCUCCAGUGGGAGCACAGAAUGUGAUAAGACCAGUCCUGAAGUCUGCAAGAGAAUCCCACCUUGGCUCCCUGGCAUAAUUCAUGUGCAGCUGGCAAAAGAGCCCAGCACAAAACCCAGGACAGUAAGGAGCAGCCAAGGAGUGCACUUCUCAAGUACAGCUGCUACUUCUUUCACCCUCUGUCUCAUCUCACUCACAGCACAGCUCAGUCAGUGCUAAGUCCCUCUCAUUUUUUCCCUGAGGCAAAAACCUUUAAUCACAGACUGCAGACCAGCGUGAGAGGCAGGAGAGGAAGGCAGCUGCAGAGCCUGUAUUAGUUUACUAUUGAGCAACUAGAGCAACCAGCUCUGUCAAAGGCUGGGAAAAACGCAGGGCUGGGACUCCUCAUCCUCCUCCCUGCUCCCUUUUGGAGCCUGGGCCGCCCUGUGCCCAGCUGGCUGCCAGCUCUGCCUGCUCCCAUGUCACAGGGCACAUAGGGCAGCAGAGGAAAUGUUGUGCUAGGGCCUGUACUGUGCCUCUUUUCUCUUCUGUUCCAAUAGAGAAUUCCAAUUGAACACUGGAGCGCACAAAGGAUGAAAGCUUCAGCAGAACAUGCCCUUGCCAAUGCUUGGCAGAGCUGUGGCACCCUUGUAGCUCCUGCAGUGCAAACAGUCACUGCCACCUACAAUAGGAUGGUAGCAAAACACUAGUUUCCACCAAUAGCUUCUUCCAGUGUUUCCUCCCAGUUACAACUGGUGCUGCUGAGAGUCCAUGGGAAAAAACUCCAGUAAAGACCAGGCCUCUGCAUGCAAAUGAAUGCUACAUAAAUAACCCCCAUCUUCGCUCCUAAGUUGUGUACUCUGUGCACUAGAAUUCCCUUCAAAGACCUCCCAGUUCAUUCUUUAUGCUCUAAUUAAGGAUCAGUGCCAAUUAAGUAUCUUCAAUAGAGGAGCAUCUUCCGCUCAGCAGCCAGGAAGUGUCUGAAUGAGAUCCUGCUGUACAAUGUGCACAUGAAAAGGGAAGCCCUCCCUUCUUGGAAAGGGCUUCCAAGAUUAAAAAUCCAGUAUAGAAUACAAGAUGCCUGCUUUAAAAAUAUUUUGUGAUGAGAUUAAUUGAGGGCACACAUGAAUGCAGAGUGGUUUGUGACAUGCCUUGUACAUGCCUGUAUAGCACCCGAGUGUGCUACCGCAUUGCCAAGGGGCUGAGCUGCACCCUGUGCCAUCCAGGCAACAGCAGGUGUGAAAAGAGAGUGUAACAUUGUUUGGAAACUGGUAUUAUAACAGUGUCUGCUUUUUCUUGCAAGGGUUAAAGAUACUAAGAAGCCACUUUUCGGAUGAAAACUUAGUGCUGUUUACAUCAGUAUCUGCACUGCUCCAGUAGUCCACACCUUUGCUUCCUGUUGUUGUUCACCUGCUCUGUAAAUAACCAGGCAGCUCAGAUUACUGCCACGCUGCUCUGAGUGAGAGCUGUGCUGACGGUCUGAGCAGGCACAGGCAGGGGAAUGGCAUUUCUGAGCCUGGCUAAAGAUGAAUGCAUCAGUUCCCCAGCCACUUGCAGGCUACGUUUAAAAAGCGCUUUCUAAAUGAAAAUUAGAUGGUUAAACACUGUGGGGGGAAGGGCAGGGAAUGGGAUAAUCCCUUCAAAGCUUUAAAUGGAAGAUUUGCAGACCUGCCUCAGCUGAUGUGAGACACAUGAACAACCUCUGAUUUAAGAUGUAUGUAAAACUCCAGCCAGGCAAACAGCAGCACGGCCUUUUGGGGCACCCAUGUGAAGUGGUUGUGUGUGCAGCAGAUGUAGCCACACUACCAAUCACUGCUGAAUCUGGUGACCGCUCACGGGCUGCUCUGAAGAAUAAAGGAGUAGAGGAGGAAGAAAGCAGACUUGAUGAGAAACAGGAACUGCAAAACUGCAUUGGAGAAUGGGGAAAAAGCAACAAAUUAUUCUGUAAGCAGCAGAAUCCACAGUCUUGCCUAAUGGGAUUUACAUCCAUAACAUCUGCCAGGCCACUGAUGCUUCAGUAUAUAAUAACAAAAAGUAUCUAGAACUGGCAGUGAAUUGGAGUGCUUUUGUGGAGCAGAUUGUGUACAAGUCCAUUUUUGUACAAAGACUGGGCAAAACAAGUCUGAGGUUUGAGGAGCAACCCCACACGUGCUCGGCAGAGGCUGGUGUCUGUGUCUGGGCUUUGCUACCAGCGAUCCAUCUGCAAAGCACCGGGGGCAGGUCUGUCCUGAUAUGCCUUGGGAGUCCCUAGGGAGGCACCACAGUGCUGACUGCUGAGAUCUGAGCUGCACAGAGGAAGGGGGAGGCGGAGGGAAAUGCAGAGCAGCGCACUGCAACCAUAUCACUCCAGUGAGUGUAACCUUUAUUCUAGGUGAGGGUCAGUGCUUUUGGACUUACCCGAAUCCGUCUCAUGGCUGCCACAAUCUCCACGCGGCUGCUGGGCCUGGGAACGUCCAAGCUACCAAUGUACUGAAAGACAGAAGCUCAGCAGACAUGGAUUCCAUUCCUUGUCAGUGUUGGCCACCUGCACAGAGGGGCAGCAAACCCCAGAGCUGCUCCAGCAAAUGCAGCUCUUUGUGCCAGGGCUCGGGCGUGCGCUGCCUGCACAGUGCCAGCCCUGCUGAAGUUGCUCACUCGGUGGUGGUGCAACGCCAAAACACCUUGAAUGAUCGGCGUGAACUUUCUGACAGCGUCCCUAUUUCUGAACCCCCACACCGUGCGUGUAAGUGCAGACCUCCCGGCCACGCUUUUCACACAGGGAACAAACAGCUCGGAUGCCCGCUGGGUUCUGCCGAUGGCACCGGAACCGGGAUGGGUCCCUGCCCGGGGGUCUGCCCCGAUCGGUUCUCAAAGGAGGCACGCGAGGAAGCGUUAGACACCUUAGAAAAGAUUAGCAGGAAGAAAGGAAUGACCUGUUUGAUUGCGACCUUAGGCGUGAAGCUCUCGCGGUUGCCUGGCGCUUACCCCUAGGCCCGGCGCGCGGCUACAGGCUGGCUGCGCUCGGGCGC